GAUGAACGCUGGCGGCGUGCCUAAUACAUGCAAGUCGAGCGAACGGACGAGAAGCUUGCUUCUCUGAUGUUAGCGGCGGACGGGUGAGUAACACGUGGAUAACCUACCUAUAAGACUGGGAUAACUUCGGGAAACCGGAGCUAAUACCGGAUAAUAUUUUGAACCGCAUGGUUCAAAAGUGAAAGACGGUCUUGCUGUCACUUAUAGAUGGAUCCGCGCUGCAUUAGCUAGUUGGUAAGGUAACGGCUUACCAAGGCAACGAUGCAUAGCCGACCUGAGAGGGUGAUCGGCUACCCUAGAACUGAGCCACCGUCCAGACCCCGACGGGAGGCACCAGUCGGGAAUCUGCCGCCAUGGGCGAAAGCCUGACGGAGCAACACCGCUUGAAUGAUGAAGGUCUACGGAUCGUAAAACUCUGUUAUUAGGGAAGAACAUAUGUGUAAGUAACUGUGCACAUCUUGACGGUACCUAAUCAGAGAGCCACGGCUAACUACGUG
rnacentral:rRNA from 1 species